ACACACACACACACACACACACACUACAUGUACACAAAUACAAAAAACACAGAUACCCACACUACGUACAGAUACACACACACACUCCUGAGCAGGUCAGAGAGGAGACGAUUGCAAGGGUUAUUGGUUAAAACUUUGUCAUAUUAGACUUAAAUUUACUGAAAAUAAAGAAUAAAGGGCAGUCUGCCACAAACAGGAUACUUUGUGAGGAAAAACAGGGUUUAGGCGAUAUGCCACAAACAAGAGCUUUAGAAAGUAAAUGAAUAAAGUCUUUUGUAUACAAGCAGGCUUGACGUCAUACCAAGUAGUUAAGGAUUUCCAGGAUACUUUGUAAUGCAGCUAGUUAUAGGUAAAUGCCUUUUAGGAUAAGGCAAUACAGGAUCAUGCAGAGUUGCAGAGGUUGAAACAGGUAGGUAUAUUCCAAAAUAAUAUAAUGCAGGUUGCUUACAAGCUCAUGCAGUGAUGCAGCAAUUGAAGCAGUUAAGAUUCUUCAAUGAAGGCAAUACGCCACAAAUCAGGAUUCUUGGAAGCUGAUAAGGAAAGUCUUUCGGUAAGAUGUAAUUCAGGCAAGUUCAGGAUGAAGUAAUGAAGGUUAGUGCCCUUCAGUAUGAGGAAAUGCAGAUGAGUACAGGAUGAGGCACUGCAGGUAAGUUUGCUACAGAAUGAAAUAAUGUAGAUAAAAUACAGGAUAUUAUCAGGAACAGAGCUUCUUUCUCAGAACAUAGACUUCAAUAUCAAGGCCCUGUUGUGUGCCUAGACUUAUCAAGCCUCCUAAUUAGUUAAUCCAGGUCAGGUUAUUAAGGUGAGUGAAUAGAUUAGUGGCUAGGGAGGCCACUAGAGGAGAAAUCAUGAAGUUCACUUAAAGGGCCAGUAAUAAACGAAAAUGUCUUACAUGUCAGUUUUGAAACCUGACAGAUACAAACAGAAACAAAUGCAAACACAUAUACACACACUACACAUACACACAUACAAACACAGAUAUACACACACAAACACACAGAUACCCACACAUACAAACAGAUACACACACACAAACACACACACAUUAAAAAAUUAAGUCACCCAGCAGGUUCUUACCUGUCCGGCUGGCUCUGCGUGAGCUGGGAGGAUACGCUGUCACUUCUCUAUGCGGCUAGGAAGGGGCCUGGUCGUGCUCUUAAAGAUGGACCUUCACACAGGUUCCCAACCUGUGCGGUGCUGCUGCACCACCACCAAGGAUUGGGAAAUCCUGUUUUAUAUUAUGACAGGGGAGGCAAAAUGCCGCCCCUGUCAGAGUGCUGCCUGAAACCGUGGCUCCAGCGCAGUCUAUGGAUGGGCCAGCCCUGCCCCCACCACCUUCCAGUAGAAUUUUCCCUUUGUCUUUCUAAUAACCCCCCGUCCCCAGAUACCAUCUUAUCUGCUAUUUAUUUUGUCUCACUAUUCACUAUUUUAGAAUAUAUUCACUGAGCAGGGAAUUGUGAAAUUUAAUCCAAAAUAGAUCAAAUGUGAAAAUGUCCAAUUCUUGCAUAUGUCUAGCAGGGCUCUAUUUUCCGUUAAGUAUAAAUGCAUGGAGCAGUCACCAUGGAAACCAGUGGAAUUUUCCUGUUAUUGUUCCAGGAAACCUACAUUUUAGUGGCGACUGGGGUAUACCUGCUGAUUUAAUGCUCACUAAUCCCAGUGUGAAACUCAGUUGUAUCUGAUUGGAUGAACACAGCAAUUAACCAAUCAGAAUGCAGAAUUGACUCCAACAGAGCUAUUCACUAAGCGAAAAUGAAAAGUGAAUCACAAUAUUAAAG